UACGUAGGUGGCAAGCGUUGUCCGGAAUUAUUGGGCGUAAAGCGCGCGCAGGCGGCCUUUUAAGUCUGAUGUGAAAGCCCACGGCUCAACCGUGGAAGGUCAUUGGAAACUGAAAGGCUUGAGUACAGAAGAGGAAAGCGGAAUUCCACGUGUAGCGGUGAAAUGCGUAGAGAUGUGGAGGAACGCCAGUGGCGAAGGCGGCUUUCUGGUCUGUAACUGACGCUGAGGCGCGAAAGCCAGGGGAGCAAACGGG
rnacentral:rRNA from 1 species